rnacentral:tRNA from 1 species
GUUAAUAUAGUUUAACAAAAACGUUAGAUUGUGAUUCUAAAGAAGGAGGUUAAAAUCCUCUUAUUUACC